AGAUUUAGUAUCUCAGCAGCCAGCAUUACGAGGUGAGUUUCCUUCCGGUAGGAAUGGGUCUACGGCCACAAUGCCGACCCGUUUAGUUAGCAGCAGUUUCGGACUUUGGUCUGAUGCAGUAGUUAGUGUGCUUGACGUCUUUGUGAUUCAAGCAUGUCUUUGUGUUAUGUGUUCCGGACUUCGGUCCGAUGCAGUAUGCAGUAUAUGUGUUAUGAUUAUAUUAUGCUAUGUUCAGUCAGAUUCCGGACUUCGGUUCGAUGCAGAGGGCAAGGCCCUGUUAGUUCCGGACAUUGGUCCGAUGCAGUUUCCAGACUUCGGUCCGAUGCAAAGGGCAAGGCCCUGUUAGUUCCGGACUUCGGUCCGAUGCAGAGGGCAAGGCCCUGUUAGUUCCGGACUUCGGUCCGAUGCAGAGGGCAAGGCCCUGUUAGUUCCGAACUUCGGUCCGAUGCAGUUUUCGGACUUUAGUCCGAUGCAGAGGGCAAGGCCCUUGUCAGUUUCCGGACUUUGGUCUGAUGCAGUCCCGGACUUCGGUCCGAUGCAGUUUCCGAAUUUCGGUCCGAUGUAGUGGGCAAGGCCCAGUAUGUGCUUUAUGUGUUAUUGUAUGGUAUAUGGUAGUUUGGGGGACCUCACUAAGCUUCGUGCUUACAGUUUCAGUUUUGGUUUUAGGUACUUCCGCUAGCAAGGGGAAGAGCUUGGGUUGAUGGCAUG
rnacentral:lncRNA from 1 species